GUGCUUGCACUGAAUGAGAUUUUAACACGAAGUGAGUGGCGGACGGGUGAGUAACACGUGGGUAACCUGCCCACAAACAGGGGAUAACACCUGGAAACAGAUGCUAAUACCGUAUAACAGAGAAAACCGCCUGGUUUUCUUUUAAAAGAUGGCUCUGCUAUCACUUCUGGAUGGACCCUCGGCGCAUUAGCUAGUUGGUGAGGUAACGGCUCACCAAUGCGAUGAUGCGUAGCCGACCUGACAGGGUAAUCGGCCACAUUGGGACUGAGACACGGCCCAGACUCCUACGGGAGGCAGCAGUAGGGAAUCUUCCUCAAUGGACGCAAAUCUGAUGGAGCAACGCCGCGUGAGUGAAGAAGGGUUUCGGCUCGUAAAGCUCUGUUGAUAACGA
rnacentral:rRNA from 1 species